rnacentral:rRNA from 1 species
UACGUAGGGUGCGAGCGUUGUCCGGAAUUACUGGGCGUAAAGAGCUCGUAGGCGGUCUGUCGCGUCUGCUGUGAAAACCCGAGGCUCAACCUCGGGCCUGCAGUGGGUACGGGCAGACUAGAGGGCGGUAGGGGAGAAUGGAACUCCUGGUGUAGCGGUGGAAUGCGCAGAUAUCAGGAAGAACACCGAUGGCGAAGGCAGUUCUCUGGGCCGUAACUGACGCUGAGGAGCGAAAGCGUGGGGAGCGAACAGG